CUGAUUUUCUUGCUUCUCUGAUGCUCUUUCAUAGGGGAAGUGGUGGUCAAGUGGUUUGAGGCGGUCCAGACUGGCCUGCCCAUGUGCAUUCUGGGAGCCCUCUUCGGUCCUUUACGCUUAAAUACCAGAAAGUGGCAGCUUUUGACUGCGGAGCUCAUCCCGUGGGCUGUCCAGAGCGGACAAAACGCAACCUGCAUCUUGAAUUUUUAUUACGAGAAACGCUGGGAGCAAACGGUGGAAUCUCUUCGCCGUGAAAUCGGCAUUCUGCCACCUCCGGGGAUUCAGGUUUGAGCUUCCACAGGCUGAACGAGGGGAAUACCUGAACGGAGGCCAAACUGCUUUCAGGAAAUUAAACUCUGGAAAUUAAACCCUCUCCGGCCAGGGGUGAAAUCCA